rnacentral:rRNA from 1 species
AUUGAACGCUGGCGGCAGGCUUAACACAUGCAAGUCGAGCGGGGUGAUGGUGCUUGCACUAUCACUUAGCGGCGGACGGGUGAGUAAUGCUUAGGAAUCUGCCUAUUAGUGGGGGACAACACCUCGAAAGGGAUGCUAAUACCGCAUACGUCCUACGGGAGAAAGCAGGGGAUCACUUGUGACCUUGCGCUAAUAGAUGAGCCUAAGUCGGAUUAGCUAGUUGGUGGGGUAAAGGCCUACCAAGGCGACGAGCUGUAGCGGGUCUGAGAGGAUGAUCCGCCACACUGGGACUGAGACACGGCCCAGACUCCUACGGGAGGCAGCAGUGGGGAAUAUUGGACAAUGGGGGGAACCCUGAUCCAGCCAUGCCGCGUGUGUGAAGAAGGCCUUAUGGUUGUAAAGCACUUUAAGCGAGGAGGAGGCUUACCUAGUUAAUACCUGGGAUAAGUGGACGUUACUCGCAGAAUAAGCACCGGCUAACUCUGUGCCAGCAGCCGCAGUAA